rnacentral:misc_RNA from 1 species
GAAGUAACCCUUGGACUUCAAACGGUCGACGAAGGAGACCCACUCAGGCCAGGGGUGGAGUUGUUGAAGGGUUUCUGUGGUACCAGAGUGGAGAGCAGCGGAGGAACAGAAUCGAUGGAAUCGGAGGGGUUUGGAGGGAAGAAAUGAAGGGAUUGGAAAGAGAACUGUGUGGGCGUUAGAACAGUAGAGCAAACUGCGAGAAAAUAAGAAUUUGGAAGCUGACAUUUUGAUUCUUUAGGAUGAGGAAAUGGUGAGGCUGGGCAUGGACGAGAGAAGGGUCUGCUGCAGAGCUGAAAUGCGGCAAAAGGAUUUUUGCAGGGUUUUAGCU